UUUGGGCAGCUGAAGAGUUCUUUAGAGGUUCUGUGGAUGUAGGUUGGUAUCUCAGGUGUGUAUUUAGGUAUCUCAGGUGUGUUUUUGAACUCUCAGGUGUGUUUUGAGCUCUCCAGGGGUUCUGUGGAUGUAGGUUGGUAUCUCAGGUGUGUAUUUAGGUAUCUCAGGUGUGUUUUGGGCAGCCAGGAGCAGUUUGGGGGUGGUGGCAUGGAUCAGAUGUACAUUAUCAUCCCAUGUUAGACAUUGACCAGCAGCCUGAGGAGCUCCAGGCAGGUGCCAUUUAGAAAUUGAUGAGAUAUUCAGAGAUAUUCAUGUCACUGUGCUUGGUGAGGAGCUGGUUUGUGUCGAGGCUGAUACAUCAGGGGUGGGCUGAGAGGAGCUUGGCAGAGGUUGUGUAUCAAGGGACACAUAUUGGACUAGAUAUAUAUAUAUAAAAUAGAAGGUGUGUAUAUAUAAAAUAUAAUGGAUUUUUACUGGAGAUCUGAGGAGCUCUUUACAAGGAGAGAUGUAUCAAGGUAGAUGCAUCAGGCAUCUGGAGAUCUCAGGUGAUGUUUACAGACACACAGGUAAUAUCUGGAGGUGCUGAAGGCUGAGGGACAUUCAUCAGAUGGGUGUGGAAGGUCUGAGGGGCUCACUGGAGGUGAUUUAUAUGGAGAGAUCUGUGAAUUUUAUCUCUUGUAUUCAUUUUUUUUUGCAGUGAAACACAAAACACCCCUGUGCUGGUCCUUGCUGAGCCCAGCUUUGUUUUCCACUGGAACUGCUGAGAUGGGACUGAAAUCCCAGUCCCAUAAAGGCAAAUUCUUGGUAGUUACAAAACCAUCUCUGGUGCAUGGAUGGACUUUUCCUUUUUAAAUGGUCUGGGAGCUCCAUUCUGGAGGCUGUUCCCCACUUCACUGUCUGAUCCUCAAUACAAAACCACAUUUACAUCAAGGAAAUAUCACCAUUAACCAGGGGAAUGGCAACUGCCAGUGUGAAAUGGCACAGCCAGCACCGGGGAUGUUUCACUCCUUUUUCCCCUUUUUUCCCCUUUGCAGACCUGGAUUGUAGCAGCAGCCCUCAGUGUGAUCCUGUGAGGAGCUUUCUGCAGCCACCAGGAGGGGAAAAGGACAGGACAGGACAGGACAGGACAGCACUGACCUCCAUCCUCCAUCCUCUGGCCACAGCAACAGCUCCACCUUCCUUUUCUGGACAUAUCUCGGUUGUGAUCCCCAGCCGGUUUUUGGGGCAGUGGCAGGACACACUUCCAGGGCAGUGGCUCCCUGAGCACCCCCUAACAGUAAGCCUGCUUUGCUUUCUAUUAAUUAAGCAAUUGUAUAUAUUAAUUGUGCAAUUAUGUACAUUAAUUGAGCAGGAUGUGGUGAGUCAUGACCUUGGUGUGGCUUUGUUUGGAGGAAUUUCUGCUGUUUUCUGUUGCAUUUAAAUUCUAUCAACCCUUCCCUAAAUGCAGUGAGCAUUUCAGAGCAGAAUUG
rnacentral:lncRNA from 1 species